AGUCGCGUAGCUCAGUGGGAGAGCACUGCCUUGACAUGGCAGGGGUCACAAGUUCAAUCCUUGUCGCGACUACCA
rnacentral:tRNA from 1 species